CGGGCGGGGCUUGGCCGGGCUGCGCCCCCCCCGCAGACCGUUAGCUCGGAGCAGGCGCAGUGCGGGACCCGCGCGCACGGCGGCGGGCGGGCUCCUGAGGCGAGCGGCGCUCCCGCGCUCGCCGAGGGGAGGAGGCGGGAAGGGGGCCCGUUAGGCGCUUCCGAGCCCUCGGGGGGAUUUUCCACGAACGGAGACGAGUUGUUCUGACUGAAAAAAAAAAAAAAGAAGUCCUUAGGAAAGUCUCUAACGGGCCCGAAAGCACGCGCUCCUGAGGGGCGCCCUGCCUCUUCCCCCGGGAAGGCCCCGGGUGAGGCAGGCGCCGAGCCCAGCCUGAACCCUGUGGAGGCGGUUGCUACUCAACUGCCGUAGAUAAACCACCUCCCACUCAGCCCCAGGAGGCAGGAUUCCUCAGGCGGGCUCGUAGCCCGUUUCACUCACUUCAGAAGGGAAGGGCCGCAGAGGUGCAAGCAGCAACAGUGCAACUUCUCGUGUGAAGAGUUUUUGGAUACAAGAUAAUUGGAGACAGACUCGUGCCUUUCACAGGGCAUCUUCUCUGUAACGUGAAAGAGAAACAGCCAAAUGCCAACACCAGCAUCUUACUGGAUUUUGUAAACAAGUCUGCACAAAACCAACCACAUCUAAUAAGUUCCAAAAUUUGGACAAGACAUGCUGAGGAAGUACAUUUAUGGAGGAAGAGAGAUCAAUACUGGAUGAAGCAACAAAGAGAGGCAUGGGCAUGAAAGUGAAACACCACGCUGACAAACAAACAAGGAUUGAAGAGUCCCAGACAGCGCACACUCUAUGCCAUUGAGACGGUGCCCUGGAUAAAAGCCACAAUGAACGGGGUGAGAGAGAAGCCGUAAGCCAUGGAAGGAGUAAGAAGCAAGCGGUGAUUGAAGAGGGCGCAGCCGUGAAGCUCCGUAUUUCCCACACACACGGGCCCCAAGAAGCCCUGAUAUGCCCUCUCUCAUUCUGGUUUCUAAGCCAAAUGUGCUGGCAUUUGUGUAAGGCGGCUUGAGUUAUGAAACCUAAGAGGAUGUAAUUCCUAUGCAAACAUUUUUCAUUCACUCUUGUGCUGGCCAUUCUUAACGCAGCAGCCGUUUCCUCUGUGAGCUGAAACAAGUCUUGUGUUCCUGGAGGCAGCUGUAAACCUCACGUUGCAGCAGUAGCUAUCGGUUACCUAAGGAAUAGCUUCGGCUACCCCAUCCUGCUGUAAAUGGGAAGAGAUUUCGUACAGCUUUUCACCACAGAAACCAACAAGACUAUAUCAGAUUUUUUUUUUUUUUAAAACAUACUUCGUUUUCUUUUGUGGAAGAGGAAAGGAGGGGAGAUUAAUUUAAAGAGCUCUCCGAUAAGACAAAAAUAAAGCUUGUGGGGCAACGCCUUUCCUUUUUUCCUCUUUUCUUCUAUCCCAGGUCUCAUGUCACACAAUGCCUGUAGCAAGUGCACUAAGCGAUCCUACAAUGCUAACAUCGGGCAGGCUGAUCUCUUUCUCAUAUCUUCCAUCAAUUUCUUUAACUGAUUUGCACCCUUAGGUGACAGAAGUCUGAGUACAGCUCUGCUUCACCACUAGUUACGCUGUAAAUGGAAGCACCGUAAGACAACUUGAUAUAAACAGUCAAUCAAGAAUAGGAAAGACCACGUUUCCAAAACCCUCACAGGCAUAUAAUGCAACCGCUCACAAAUGACAAAGACCCGGCAUUCUGCAACGCCUCAGUCCACAAGAAUUCAGCUGCAGCAAGCAGCUCACUGAUUUCAUGAGCUGUGAGCCUCAGCAAUUCCCCGUGCCGAAGGGGAGCUCUGGGUCCGGGAGGUGCCCCGUGGGCGCUGGAGCCAGGGGAACCUCUUGAGUGCUGCACCCUGCUGCUGCCUGGAGAGAACACAGGUGGCAGACGGACACGUUGCUGCCUUGGUAGAUGCAGUCGCACAGAACGGGGCUUUCUCUAACAUUCCUUAAUUCACCUGAUGUAAUGGAGAGGACAACGCACCAUGCCAGGACAUGUGUUUUCAAGAUAAUGAUUUAGAUGGUGCUUUUACACGCACAGGUAGAACCGUCGUGGCAGACAAGAGUUAUGCCAGUUUUUGUGGUGAUGUUGAAACACACCGAAGCUACUUAUCAAGGUUACGUUCCCAGGCGCAGGUUGCUGCAGCUCAGACUCGCGUCUCCCACAUAAGGCAGUCUCUGAAACGCAUCCCUUGCCCCUUCCGACUGGCAAGAGAAACUCAGGCCGCAGAGUUACUCCCUGAAAUUCAUGCCUUCCUGAAAACACUCUGGACCCUGUUAUCCUCACCUGUUAACCUGCGAACUUCUGCCCAGACUGGACCAAGAGAAGGCAGCGCUCCAUUUGGUGGUUAAAAUAGUUACCAGAGUCUUUGCCAACUGCGCAGACGAUCAUCCACAAAGAAAAAGGACCUGAUUAGAACAGAAGCGCUCAAUUUUCUCCCUUUUUAAAAAGCCCGUUGCACAUGCAAAUGAACAUGCAGUUCUGUAUUGCAGGAUGGAGUCCCUGGCGCUGAUGCCCAGCAGCAAACAUUUAGCCUAUUGAUUUAAUAAAGCCACAGAAUACACACGCAGAGAUUAUAGAUCCAAUUUACACCCAAAAAACGUAAGUCCAUGUUAAAGAAUUCUGAGCCAUCCGUGUAAUGCCACAGUUCAAACUUUUAUGAUUAAUCUUGAGCCAAAAGGAGAUCACCUGAAGCCCCACUUUGUGGGUUAAAAGGCCUUUCACAAAACAGAGGCUGUUUUGCCCAGGAAACAGUAGCUGGGCAUUCAUUAGAAGCCUCCCUUGGCAGAGACAACAGGUUGCGCAUUGACAUGCACCUUACACGGAAGGACGGUUUCAGUUAAAUACUGAGAAAACAAAAUCUGGUUUAACUGUCCAGAAAAUAAGUCCGGUUUUGAUGCCCGGGCAUUCUGCCGCAGCUUGCAGGGAUCACCGCUUGCAUUUUUGUUCAGUUUCCCUACCAUUUUCCCCAAUAAAGCGCCAGGUACGUUAAGACAAUGCGGCCUGCUUUGGCAAAAAGCUCUUUACGAAGGUGCCAGCUACCGCUGGGAUGGUCAAACGGAAAGUUAAGCAGCAUAUUGGGAAUCUCAGUCGCUAGAAAAGCCACAAACCAGAAUGCGAGGAUGCCCCGAAACUUGCGCUCCCGCAUUUCUAACGCCGUUCCACAUUCUUAGCGCCUUCCCAUACAUUUAUCGCGGUCUCAAGCCUCUCCACGAUUUUUGUGUGGUUCCUUCCGAAGAACGUAUUCCAAGCCGUUGCAGGGAACAGCCCUUUAUCGUACAUAUUAGAAUUUAAAUGGGAUCGGGAGCACUCUGCACAUUGCGAUAGAGACAGGUUACGCCGACACGGGUAGCAUGGCGUCUGAGCAGGGAGCCCAGGGUUGUGCAAGAUGUGAAGGAACGGAAGGGCUGUGAUUUAGCCGCUGUCAUGCACCAAACCUCGCUCCGGUAACUUUAACUGUUUAACGGUAGAAUAAAAAUCCGUAUGCCC